rnacentral:sRNA from 1 species
UGCUAUAUUAUCGUUAGUGGUACAGUAUUCUAGUCAGUUGAAUUAACUUGGAAGACGGGCCUAAAAAUCCGUUGAAGGGCACAUCGAUGAAGUUCUUGGUUUCGGCUUCUGACGCCCAGUCGGGGGUCGUUUCUGGGAGUAAGGAGAUGGGGGCGAUCCGCAAAGGCAUGCGGGCGUUGACCCUCGCUCCGUGGAGGCCGCUUUGCAAUUUAGGUUAAAUUCAAGUGGUAGAAACCUAUACGUUUGUGCGGAGAGUGCGAACGAUAGCGUAGCCUGCCUUGCGUGGAAUAGGGAGAUGAGUAGAUCAGGUUUUUGAUAUCAGGGCCCGAUGGAGAAAAUCAUUGCUACUUGAAAUCUAUUCUGCAAAAGAGGCUAAGAGUUAAUGAAAACUGUUGAGGAAAACUCCUAGACUGUUCGAUUUAGAAGCGUAAUAAGGAUUACAGUGCGGACUAAGUGGUACUCCAGUCCUGUUUAUGGUGACAAAACAGAGAUUGAUUUAAAGGGAAACCGCUGCUAUGGCGACAGGCAGUAUUGAUCUGGGAAAUCCUACUGGACCUAAGCCGUAAAAUUUACUUAUUAUGCUACCACUACGACUUGAAGCUGA